UACGUAGGGUGCAAGCGUUAAUCGGAAUUACUGGGCGUAAAGCGUGCGCAGGCGGCUAUGCAAGACAGAUGUGAAAUCCCCGGGCUCAACCUGGGAACUGCAUUUGUGACUGCAUGGCUAGAGUACGGUAGAGGGGAUGGAAUUCCGCGUGUAGCAGGUGAAAUGCGUAGAUAUGCGGAGGAACACCGAUGGCGAAGGCAAUCCCCUGGACCUGUACUGACGCUCAUGCACGAAAGCGUGGGGAGCAAACAGG
rnacentral:rRNA from 1 species